rnacentral:rRNA from 1 species
UAACGCGUGGGUAACCUGCCCUUUUGUGGGGAACAACUUCGAGAAAUCGGAGCUAAUACCGCAUAAUAAUAGAGGAUCGCAUGAUUCUUUAAGGAAAGAUGGCCUCUGAAGAUGCUAUCGCAAAAGGAUGGACCCGCGUCUGAUUAGCUAGUUGGAAGGGUAACGGCCUACCAAGGCAACGAUCAGUAGCCGGCCUGAGAGGGUGAACGGCCACAUUGGGACUGAGACACGGCCCAAACUCCUACGGGAGGCAGCAGUGGGGAAUCUUCCGCAAUGGGCGAAAGCCUGACGGAGCAAUGCCGCGUGAGUGAAGAAGGCCUUCGGGUUGUAAAACUCUGUCNUUAUNGAAGAGAGGUAGGUAUGUGAAUAAUGUACCUAUAGGACGGUAGAUAAGGAGGAAGCCCCGGCUAACUACGUGCCAGCAGCCGCGGUAAUACGUAGGGGGCGAGCGUUGUCCGGAAUCACUGGGCGUAAAGGGCGCGUAGGCGGUUUAAUAAGUCAGUGGUGAAAACUGAGGGCUCAACCCUCAGCCUGCCACUGAUACUGUUAGACUUGAGUAUGGAAGAGGAGAAUGGAAUUCCUAGUGUAGCGGUGAAAUGCGUAGAUAUUAGGAGGAACACCAGUGGCGAAGGCGAUUCUCUGGGCCAAGACUGACGCUGAGGCGCGAAAGCGUGGGGAGCAAACAGGAUUAGAUACCCUGGUAGU